rnacentral:lncRNA from 1 species
GGAAAUAUCAUUAAUCUUAAAAUUUGACAAAAAUACAAUUUUUUAAAUGCUAAAUAUUAAAGGGUUAAAUAUAUUUUUAGUCCUUAUAAAUAUGUCAACUUUUCGUUUUAGUCUCUCUAAAAAUUUUCUUCAACUUUUAGUCCCUAUAAAAUUUUCAAUCUUCACUUUUGGUCCCUCUUUUAAAGUAAACUCAUAUGUAGAAUUCAUAUUUUUUAAUAAAAAUUUUCAUAAACAAUCAAAAUAUUAUAAGAAUAACUCCAAAAAAAAUUUAGAAUUUUUUAACAAAAUAUGAAUUUAAUAUGAAUUUAUAUAUUUUUU